AACGAACGCUGGCGGCAUGCCUAACACAUGCAAGUCGAACGAGACCUUCGGGUCUAGUGGCGCACGGGUGCGUAACGCGUGGGAACCUGCCCUUAGGUUCGGAAUAACUCCCCGAAAGGGGUGCUAAUACCGGAUAAUGUCUUCGGACCAAAGAUUUAUCGCCGUUGGAUGGGCCCGCGUUGGAUUAGCUAGUUGGUAGGGUAAAAGCCUACCAAGGCGACGAUCCAUAGCUGGUCUGAGAGGAUGAUCAGCCACACUGGGACUGAGACACGGCCCAGACUCCUACGGGAGGCAGCAGUGGGGAAUCCUGGACAAUGGGCGAAAGCCUGAUGCGGCAAUGCCGCGUGAGUGAUGAAGGCCUUAGGGUUGUAAAGCUCUUUUACCCGGGAUGAUAAUGACAGUACCGGGAGAAUAAGCACCGGCUAACUCCGUG
rnacentral:rRNA from 1 species